rnacentral:pre_miRNA from 13 species
GCCAGUUCCGCUGGUUUGUUUGCUGCUUGGAGAGAGGUUAGCCUUUGUGUGUUUGCUGAACUGGCACUGAAUAUGCCAGGGCAAGCUCUCUGCUAGGAGCAAACCCAGCCUGGGGAGGUGCUC